GGCGCCUGGGCGGGGACAGCCCCGGCAGCCAGACCCAGAAGGUCAUCAUCUGCCAUCGGGGCACCCGGUCCCCCUCCCCCAGCGACCCGGAUUAUGGCCUCCCUCCCCUUGCAGGACACUCCCUCUCAUGGACUGACGAAAAGCAACUCAAAGAACAAAAUAUUAUCCGAACAGCCAAAGUGUGGACCCCAGAGGACCCCAGAAAACUCAACAGCAGAUCUCCCUUCAACAACAUAGAAAAUGAACCGCCCUUUGAGUUUGUGUCCUGAGAAAUCCCAGACCCGCCUGAGGAUCUGAUUCUGUCUCUGUGCAUAUUGUACAUGUAAAUAUCUAUAAUGUAAUUUAAGAUCACAUUUUUCUAAAGGCAAUCAACUGUUAUUUAUCUAUUUAUUAUCCUGUCGAGUUAAUUAAAUAGAUGCUUUCUUUUUAAGUAUAUAAUUUAUAUAAUUUAUCCUGAUUUUCUAAAAAUAUGCAAGAGCCUGUGAUUCCCCCCCCCAUCCCCCCUAGCACCUUUGGCAGAACUCUGCGUUGUUGGAAGAACUCUGGCUGGACAACUUCAUGCUAAUUUAUUGCCAGAUACGUUUAUGUCUAAGCGAUGUCAAUAAAUGCUAUUUACAUCUUUUUCUAAAA